AGCAGCCGCGGUAAUUCCAGCUCCAAUAGCGUAUAUUAAAGUUGUUGCAGUUAAAAAGCUCGUAGUUGAAUUUCGGGGUUCCACCGUUGGUCGGGCUAUUGUUUGUACUGGCGUGUGGAAUUUCUACCUUCUGGGGAACUAUCAUGUUAUUAAUUUAGCGUGGUAGGAAACCAGGACCUUUACCUUGAAAAAAUUAGAGUGUUCAAAGCAGGCUUAUGUCUGAAUACAUUAGCAUGGAAUAAUAAAAUAGGACGGUGGUCCUGUUUUGUUGGUUUCUGAAUCACCGUAAUGAUUAAUAGGGAUAGUUGGGGGCAUUAGUAUUCAAUUGUCAGAGGUGAAAUUCUUGGAUUUAUUGAAGACUAACUACUGCGAAAGCAUUUGCCAAGGAUGUUUUCAUUAAUCAAGAACGAAAGUUAGGGAUCGAAGACGAUCAGAUACCGUCGUAGUCUUAACCAUAAAACUAUGCCGACUAGGGAUCGGAUGAUGUUAAUUUUUUAAUGACUCAUUCGGCGCCUUAACG
rnacentral:rRNA from 1 species